GCCCUCUGUUUUUUCUCAAAUCCUCCAUUCCUCUCAAAUAUUCCGUUCUUUUUUUUCACAAAAUACUCAGGAGAAAGUUCCUGAUUUUCGUGUUUUAAGGGAUAUAAUGAUUUGGUGUUGUUUAUCUCAAACAGCGGGCUUGCAGAUGUUUAAAUGAUGGAGAGGUUCGCAAAGCUGUUACUCUGAGGAGACAUGUCUGGAUGAGGGAAAGGUGUCUCAACUGCCCUUGCUAUCUCAAAUGCCAUCACCAAUCUCUCUGUGUUUUCAGGCAUUGAAGCUAAAUAUGGAGAGGGUUUUGAGACUUUUAGACCUAUUGGACCUCUCAAGGUUUGCGUGGAUUUGUUGAACGACAAACUGCAAGGAGGUUUUCUUAAACGAACAUGAUAUAUGCUAUG